AUAGCUCAGUUGGUAGAGUAUCUGACUAUAGAGUCUCAGGAAGCCUGGGUUCAAAUCCCAGU
rnacentral:tRNA from 1 species